GGAGUCGGCCAGGCAGUCGCGUCAUCGGAAACGGUGCCGAGGAAAGUCCGGGCUCCACAGGGCACGGUGCCAGGUAACGCCUGGGCGGCGAGAGCCGACGGAAAGUGCAACAGAAAGAUACCGCCCAAGACUGCUUCGGCAGGACGGCAAGGGUGAAAUGGUGCGGUAAGAGCGCACCGCGAGUCUGGCAACAGACCGGCACGGCAAACCCCACCGGGAGCAAGACCAAAUAGGGAGACGAUGAGGCGGCCCGCCGAGUCUCCGGGUAGGUUGCUUGAGCGUAGCGGUGACGCUGCGCCUAGAGGAAUGACUGCCGCGGCGCGCAAGCGUCGAACAGGACCCGGCUUAUCGGCCGGCUCCGCCA
rnacentral:RNase_P_RNA from 1 species